AAUCCAUAGGUUAAUGAGGCGAACCGGGGGAACUGAAACAUCUAAGUACCCCGAGGAAAAGAAAUCAACCGAGAUUCCCCCAGUAGCGGCGAGCGAACGGGGAGGAGCCCAGAGCCUGAAUCAGCAUGUGUGUUAGUGGAAGCGUCUGGAAAGGCGCGCGAUACAGGGUGACAGCCCCGUACACAAAAGCGCAUGUGCUGUGAGCUCGAUGAGUAGGGCGGGACACGUGGUAUCCUGUCUGAAUAUGGGGGGACCAUCCUCCAAGGCUAAAUACUCCUGACUGACCGAUAGUGAACCAGUACCGUGAGGGAAAGGCGAAAAGAACCCCGGCGAGGGGAGUGAAAAAGAACCUGAAACCGUGUACGUACAAGCAGUGGGAGCACCCUUUGGGUGUGACUGCGUACCUUUUGUAUAAUGGGUCAGCGACUUAUAUUCUGUAGCAAGGUUAACCGAAUAGGGGAGCCGGAGGGAAACCGAGUCUUAAUUGGGCGUUAAGUUGCAGGGUAUAGACCCGAAACCCGGUGAUCUAGCCAUGGGCAGGUUGAAGGUUGGGUAACACUAACUGGAGGACCGAACCGACUAAUGUUGAAAAAUUAGCGGAUGACCUGUGGCUGGGGGUGAAAGGCCAAUCAAACCGGGAGAUAGCUGGUUCUCCCCGAAAGCUAUUUAGGUAGCGCCUCGUGAAUUCAUCUCCGGGGGUAGAGCACUGUUUCGGCUAGGGGGCCAUCCCGGCUUACCAACCCGAUGCAAACUGCGAAUACCGGAGAAUGUUAUCACGGGAGACACACGGCGGGUGCUAACGUCCGUCGUGAAGAGGGAAACAACCCAGACCGCCAGCUAAGGUCCCAAAGUCAUGGUUAAGUGGGAAACGAUGUGGGAAGGCCCAGACAGCCAGGAUGUUGGCUUAGAAGCAGCCAUCAUUUAAAGAAAGCGUAAUAGCUCACUGGUCGAGUCGGCCUGCGCGGAAGAUGUAACGGGGCUAAACCAUGCACCGAAGCUGCGGCAGCGACACUGUG
rnacentral:rRNA from 2 species